UACGGAGGGCGCAAGCGUUGUUCGGAAUUACUGGGCGUAAAGGGCGGGUAGGCGGUCCGUUAAGUCGUUUGUGAAAAUCCGGGGCUCAACCCCGCGAACUGCAAGCGAUACUGGCGGACUGGAGACCGAUAGAGGCUAGCGGAAUUCCUGGUGUAGCGGUGGAAUGCGUAGAUAUCAGGAAGAACACCUGUGGCGAAGGCGGCUAGCUGGGCCGGGUCUGACGCUGAACCGCGAAAGCGUGGGGAGCAAA
rnacentral:rRNA from 1 species